rnacentral:rRNA from 1 species
UUACAUGCAGUCGAACGGCAGCACGGGACUUCGGUCUGGUGGCGAGUGGCGAACGGGUGAGUAAUGUGUCGGAACGUGCCCAGUAGCGGGGGAUAACUACGCGAAAGCGUAGCUAAUACCGCAUACGCCCUACGGGGGAAAGCAGGGGAUCGUAAGACCUUGCACUAUUGGAGCGGCCGAUAUCGGAUUAGCUAGUUGGUGGGGUAACGGCUCACCAAGGCGACGAUCCGUAGCUGGUUUGAGAGGACGACCAGCCACACUGGGACUGAGACACAGCCCAGACUCCUACGGGAGGCAGCAGUGGGGAAUUUUGGACAAUGGAGGAAACCCUGAUCCAGCCAUCCCGCGUGUGCGAUGAAGGCCUUCGGGUUGUAAAGCACUUUUGGCAGGAAAGAAACGUCAUGGGUUAAUACCCCGUGAAACUGACGGUACCUGCAGAAUAAGCACCGGCUAACUACGUGCCAGCAGCCGCGGUAAUACGUAGGGUGCAAGCGUUAAUCGGAAUUACUGGGCGUAAAGCGUGCGCAGGCGGUUCGGAAAGAAAGAUGUGAAAUCCCAGAGCUUAACUUUGGAACUGCAUUUUUAACUACCGGGCUAGAGUGUGUCAGAGGGAGGUGGAAUUCCGCGUGUAGCAGUGAAAUGCGUAGAUAUGCGGAGGAACACCGAUGGCGAAGGCAGCCUCCUGGGAUGACACUGACGCUCAUGCACGAAAGCGUGGGGAGCAAACAGGAUUAGAUACCCUGGUAGUCCACGCCCUAAACGAUGUCAACUAGCUGUUGGGGUCUUCGGACCUUGGUAGCGCAGCUAACGCGUGAAGUUGACCGCCUGGGGAGUACGGUCGCAAGAUUAAAACUCAAAGGAAUUGACGGGGACCCGCACAAGCGGUGGAUGAUGUGGAU